UACGUAGGGGGCUAGCGUUGUCCGGAUUCAUUGGGCGUAAAGCGCGCGUAGGCGGCCAGGUAAGUCUGCUGUGAAAGCUCGAGGCUCAACCUCGGGAUGUCAGCGGAUACUGCCUGGCUAGAGUCCGGAAGAGGCGAGUGGAACUCCUGGUGUAGCGGUGAAAUGCGCAGAUAUCAGGAAGAACACCGACGGCGAAGGCAGCUCGCUGGGACGGUACUGACGCUGAGGCGCGAAAGCGUGGGGAGCGAACAGG
rnacentral:rRNA from 1 species